GCAAACUUGGUCAUUUAGAGGAAGUAAAAGUCGUAACAAGGUUUCCGUAGGUGAACCUGCGGAAGGAUCAUUAAGAGUGCGGACCGCUGGGUCCCGACCACUUUUAAACCCCCCUCGUGAACCAGUCCUUGUUGCUUCGGCGGACCCGCGCCGUAAGGCGCCCGGCGGCCCCCCAGACCGGGGGGCGGCUGGAGCGUCCGCCAGAAGACCACUCGAACUCGAUGUUUUGGUGCCUGUCUGAAGCUCACACAAUUCUUUAAAACUUUCAACAACGGAUCUCUUGGUUCUCGCAUCGAUGAAGAACGCAGC
rnacentral:misc_RNA from 1 species